rnacentral:rRNA from 1 species
UACGAAGGUCCCAAGCGUUAUCCGGAUUUACUGGGCGUAAAGGGCGCGUAGGCGGUCAGCACAAGUCAGUUGUGAAAUCUCCGGGCUUAACUCGGAAAGGUCAACUGAUACUGUGCGACUAGAGUGCAGAAGGGGCAACUGGAAUUCUCGGUGUAGCGGUGAAAUGCGUAGAUAUCGAGAGGAACACCUGCGGCGAAGGCGGGUUGCUGGGCUGACACUGACGCUGAUGCGCGAAAGCCAGGGGAGCGAACGGG